GAUGAACGCUGACAGAAUGCUUAACACAUGCAAGUCUUUGGCGAAGCUGUGCUUGCACAGCCUAGCCAAGGCGGACGGGUGAGUAACGCGUAAGGAAAUUGCCCUGCAGUCAGGGAUAACAGACGGAAACGACUGAUAAGACCUGGUAAAGUCAGGCGGACUCAUGUCCAGCCUGAUGAAAAGAGAUGCUGCAGGAGAGCCUUGCGUCCUAUUAGCUUGUUGGUGGGGUAACGGCCCACCAAGGCGAUGAUAGGUAGCCGGCCUGAGAGGGUGGACGGCCACAAGGGGACUGAGAUACGGCCCUUACUCCUACGGGAGGCAGCAGUGGGGAAUAUUGGACAAUGGGGGCAACCCUGAUCCAGCAAUUCUGUGUGCACGAUGAAGGUUUUCGGAUUGUAAAGUGCUUUCAGCAGGGAAGAAAAAAAUGACGGUACCUGCAGAAGAAGCGACGGCUAAAUACGUG
rnacentral:rRNA from 1 species